rnacentral:lncRNA from 1 species
GCAAAUCUACAUAUAAGUGUACACACACACACACACACACACACACACACACACACACGUAUUUUCAAGGCAAUGUGGCAGAGCAGAAGCUACAUUCCUUCCAAUAGACCUUGGAGAACGUUGUCAUCUAAAAAAAUCUGGGAAGGAAAGACUAUCAUUAUGAAGUGACCUGUUCACCAAAAAGAACGACACAAAACCAUCACAGAAGACACUGAAACUAGGAGGUGGGCGAAGAGGUGCUUAGAUGACCCUACAAAUAGCGAGGAACACGCCCUCCUCUUCAGGCACCAUUUUUAGCUAACAGGCACCAUUUUGGUUCAGGUAGGUCUGAGGUGAUUUGAGAAUAUGAGCCAAAGGGAGAUGGUAAAGAGGUAGGAGGGACAGUGCCAGGAGCCCGAGCCCUCUGAAGAGAUGCCCAGAAAACAGAGCUCCAUUGGGUUAGUCUCCACCAUUCCUUUCCCCUCCCCCACCUUAAACUAUUCUAACUCCCAACUGCUGAAGGAUGCAAUGGGCCAUUUCCAAGAUCCCAACACAAAAGGAGUUUAUCAGAUGGAACUGGACAAUUUGUUAGAUAUAAGGCAAUCUAAGAAUCUGACUACUGAUAAUCAAAUGGAGGAACUCCACCUGAAAAAAAACAACACAACAAAAAACAACCUCUCCUGACAAGAGUGGAAACAAAACUUUUGAAAAAAAGCUAAGGAAAAAGGGUUAGAAAAGGAAUGGGGCAUCAAAUAAAAAUUCUUGUUUUAUUCCUAGUCGAAAAGUG